CUCCAGACUCCUACGGGAGGCAGCAGUGAGGAAUAUUGGUCAAUGGGCGGGAGCCUGAACCAGCCAAGUCGCGUGAGGGAAGACGGUCCUACGGAUUGUAAACCUCUUUUGCCGGGGAGCAACGGGGUCCUUGCGAGGGCCCGAUGAGAGUACCCGGAGAAAAAGCAUCGGCUAACUCCGUGCCAGCAGCCGCGGUAAUACGGAGGAUGCGAGCGUUAUCCGGAUUUAUUGGGUUUAAAGGGUGCGUAGGCGGGCUGUUAAGUCAGCGGUCAAAUGUCGGGGCUCAACCCCGGCCUGCCGUUGAAACUGGCGGCCUCGAGUGGGCGAGAAGUAUGCGGAAUGCGCGGUGUAGCGGUGAAAUGCAUAGAUAUCGCGCAGAACUCCGAUUGCGAAGGCAGCUUACUAAACUAUAACUGACACUGAAGCACGAAAGCGUGGGGAUCAAACAGGAUUAGAUACCCCCGUA
rnacentral:rRNA from 1 species